rnacentral:rRNA from 1 species
AUGCGGCGGGAAGAAGUGGCAUUUAGAAGUGUUGCUGACUUUACAUUUAGGUUUCGGCAUAACAAAGCUUGCACUAUCUUUUCGCACUUAGGCGCACAACGUGUCAUUGGUAAUGAUUCUACUACGGUGCUGCAAAUUCGCAAGCUGAUCCUAAGUAAUCGUUGUUGUUCAUUGGAUUCCUCCGGAAUUACUUCGUUAGGAUUGAAGAAUUGCAGCAAUUCUUCCUGA